CAGAGCUCUGCAACUUCUCCUUCUCGAGCUCCUGAACCAACAUCUCCAUCACCAAACCCCGACCAUUUCAGAAUUCCCUCAUCCCCCUUCCUUAGUUUCUUCCUUUCACGUUCUUAGCAUCGACAACCCUAGGUGCUACAAACAAGACAGUGAGAAUCUAGGGUUCAACACAGUUGCAGAGAAGACCAAUUUGGGAAGAUUUUGAGUAACAAGGGGAGCAGUGGAAGUAUGGGUCAAGCAUGGAUCGAGAAGUUAUCAGGAAUCUGUGAAGCUGUUGAGCAUGUGGAGCAACUGCUGUGGUGUUGUGGGCUGUGCAGCUGUUGUUGCUGCUGGGAUGUGCAGUAAGCUGGAGAAGAGAGCCCAAAUCAUUCGGCUGUGCAGCAACUAAAAGAGUUAAGCCUAAACCCAUCAGUAAACCCAAUGUUUGGGCUUGUAGUUUUACAUUGAUUAUGGGCUUGUUUUAACUGAAUUAUGGGCUUGUAGUUUUAUUUUAAAAACUGAACACUGGGCUUGAGUAAGCCUGAAAACCUUAAGCCUAAACCCAAUUUGUAGACUGUUUGUGGGCUUGUUUUCCAGCCACAACAACUGGGCUGUCCUUCAAUUGCAUUAGGUUUACACUC